rnacentral:rRNA from 1 species
CGAUGAGGUUUCUUCGGAAAUACAUCAGUGGCGGACGGGUGAGUAACGCGUUGGUAAUCUACCUUACACUGGGGGAUAACAUCUGGAAACGGGUGCUAAUACCGCAUAUGUGCAAAGCUGGGAUGUUUUGUACGAAAGAUUUAUUGGUGUAAGAUGAGCCUGCGUAUGAUUAGCUAGAUGGUGGGGUAACGGCCUACCAUGGCGAUGAUCAUUAGUUGGUCUGAGAGGAUGGCCAGCCACAGUGGGACUGAGACACGGCCCACACUCCUACGGGAGGCAGCAGUAGGGAAUAUUGCGCAAUGGACGAAAGUCUGACGCAGCAAUUCCGCGUGAAGGAUGAAGCCUUUAGGGGUGUAAACUUCUGUCAAUAGGGAAGAAUUAGACGGUACCUAUAGAGGAAGCACCGGCUAACUACGUGCCAGCAGCCGCGGUAAUACGUAGGGUGCGAGCGUUGUCCGGAAUUAUUGGGCGUAAAGCGUCCGUAGGCGGUUAAGUAAGUCUAAUGUAAAAGGCAUCUGCUCAACAGAUGUUGUGUAUUGGAAACUACUUGACUAGAGUAUGGUAGAGGUUGCUGGAAUUCCAGGAGUAGCGGUGAAAUGCGUAGAUAUCUGGAGGAACACCGGUGGCGAAAGCGGGCAACUGGACCAUAACUGACGCUAAUGGACGAAAGCUAGGGUAGCGAAAGGGAUUAGAUACCCCUGUAGUCCUAGCCGUAAACGAUGAACACUAGGUGUUGGGUGAAUCGACCCAUUCAGUGCCGCAGCUAACGCGCUAAGUGUUCCGCCUGGGGAGUACGGCCGCAAGGNUGAAACUCAAAGGAANUGACGGGGACCCGCACAAGCGGUGGAA